rnacentral:rRNA from 1 species
UUCCGGUUGAUCCCGCCGGAGGUCAUUGCUAUUGGAGUCCGAUUUAGCCAUGCUAGUUGUACGAGUUUAGACUCGUAGCAGAUAGCUCAGUAACACGUGGCCAAACUACCCUGUCGAUCGGGAUAACCUCGGGAAACUGAGGCUAAUACCGAAUACGGCUCGAUGCCUGGAGUUGGCUCGAGCCCGAAAUGCCCCGGCGCGACAGGAUGUGGCUGCGGCCGAUUAGGUUGACGGUGGGGUAACGGCCCACCGUGCCUAUAAUCGGUACGGGUUGUGAAAGCAAGAGCCCGGAGACGGAAUCUGAGACAAGAUUCCGGGCCCUACGGGGCGCAGCAGGCGCGAAACCUUUACACUGCACGAGAGUGCGAUAGGGGGACUCCAAGUGCGAGGGCAUACAGUCCUCGCUUUUCUGCACCGUAAGGUGGUGCAGGAAUAAGUGCUGGGCAAGACCGGUGCCAGCCGCCGCGGUAAUACCGGCAGCACGAGUGAUGACCGCUAUUAUUGGGCCUAAAGCGUCCGUAGCCGGCCAGGCAAGUCCAUCGGGAAAUCCGCACGCCUAACGUGUGGGCGUCCGGUGGAAACUGCUUGGCUUGGGACCGGAAGACCUGAGGGGUACGUCUGGGGGUAGGAGUGAAAUCCCGUAAUCCUGGACGGACCACCGGUGGCGAAAGCGCCUCAGGAAGACGGAUCCGACGGUGAGGGACGAAAGCUUGGGUCACGAACCGGAUUAGAUACCCGGGUAGUCCAAGCUGUAAACGAUGUCUGCUAGGUGUGGCGCUGGCUACGAGCCAGCGCUGUGCCGUAGGGAGGCCGUGAAGCAGACCGCCUGGGAAGUACGUCUGCAAGGAUGAAACUUAAAGGAAUUGGCGGGGGAGCACUACAACCGGAGGAGCCUGCGGUUUAAUUGGAUUCAACGCCGGA